AUUGAACGCUGGCGACAUGCUUCACACAUGCAAGUCGAACGGCAGCACGGGGGCAACCCUGGUGGCGAGUGGCGAACGGGUGAGUAAUGCAUCGGAACGUGCCUAGUAGUGGGGGAUAACGCGUCGAAAGAUGUGCUAAUACCGCAUACGCACUAUGGUGGAAAGCGGGGGACCGCAAGGCCUCGAGCUAUUAGAGCGGACGAUGCCCGAUUAGCUAGUUGGUGGGGUAAUGGCCUACCAAGGCGACGAUCGGUAGCUGGUCUGAGAGGAUGAUCAGCCACACUGGGACUGAGACACGGCCCAGACUCCUACGGGAGGCAGCAGUGGGGAAUUUUGGACAAUGGGCGCAAGCCUGAUCCAGCCAUGCCGCGUGAGUGAAGAAGGCCUUCGGGUUGUAAAGCUCUUUCGGCCGGAACGAAAUCGUCCGGGCUAAUACCCUGGAUGGAUGACGGUACUGGAAGAAGAAGCACCGGCUAACUACGUGCCAGCAGCCGCCGUAAUAC
rnacentral:rRNA from 1 species